rnacentral:rRNA from 1 species
AUUGAACGCUGGCGGCAGGCCUAACACAUGCAAGUCGAGCGAGCGGCGGACGGGUGAGUAAUGUAUGGGGACUGCCCGAUAGAGGGGGAUAACUACUGGAAACGGUGGCUAAUACCGCAUACUAUCGGAUAACCCAUAUGGGAUUAGCUAGUAGGUGGGGUAAAGGCUCACCUAGGCGACGAUCUCUUGCUGGUCUGAGAGGAUGAUCCGCCAGACUGGGACUGAGACACGGCCCAGACUCCCACGGAGGCAGCAGGGGGGAAUAUGGCGCAAUGGGGGCAACCCUGACGCAGCCAUUCCGCGUGAAUGAAGAAGGCCUUCGGGUUGGAAAGUCAUUUCGGUCGCGAGGAGUUAACUACAGAAGAAGCACCGGCUAACUCCGUGCCAGCAGCCGCGGUAAUUC